CUCUAGAGAGAGUUGUAACUUAGACUGUCGAGAAUGUUCACCCAUCGUCCAUCAAAUCAGCCUUGAUGACUUGGGACAUUUAGGACUCUAUGAUCGCUUAUAUAGCGACAUGGUCGGUGUUUAUUAUCUAAGAUCCUUGAACCUCGAGAUUUCUCAAAAUCAACUUUGAUGGCAAUGUGAGCGAUAGUAGAGGCAAAACUAAACUCAAGAUUUAUGACAGCAAGCAGAA
rnacentral:lncRNA from 1 species